CACAGAGUUGUGGAAUGGUUUGGGUGGGAUGGGGCCUUAAAAGCUGCUUCAUCCAUGGGCAGGGACACCUUCCACUGUCCCAGGUUGUUCCAAGCCCUGUCCAACCCAGCCUGGAACACUUCCAGAGAGCCCUGCUUCCCCUUACCACUCAUGCUCUGGUUUUACUGGAAUAUUCUAGACUGGAAAUUCAGAGGCUGUUUCCCUGAGCAGCCUGGUCCCUCAGUUUUGGGGGGGCUUUGGGGUUGGCUGUGGUGUAAACUCAGAAGAGCUGAAAACUCCAGCAGAUGGAACUGGCCAUACCUCCACUCACUUUUCUUUCUCCAGCCCACAGCAGAAGGUCUUUUCCUCCUGCUUUCCUGUCCUUACCUAUGUGGGAGCUGAGCCUGUCCUGGAUUUCCUCUAGGAACAGUGUCAUUUUGAGGUCCUUGAAAGUUUUAUGUCUGCUCCCACUAAACCUGUGAAGUUUUCACUUUCUGGAGCAUCAAAUAGUUGGGACUUUCUGUGCAAGGGUUUGAUUGUACCCUCAAAAGAGAAGAAUUGUUUUGUGCUUUAACUUGGGGUUCAAGCUGAAGUUCCUGCUAGGUCAGUGUCCCUGCCAAGUACAUUCCUCUCAUUUCUGCUUUUUCUUUAAAUGCAGUUCUUGCACUUAGGAAUUCUUUAAAAGCCUGUUUCUAAAGUAAGAUUUUUAGCCUGUGAUGUUUCCUGCAGUGCAAAGAUGAGAAGCAGGUACUUGUGAUGAGAGGCAGAGAACUCUGGAUUAUUUUGAGUGAAGUACAGGGUAGGAAAAGGUUUUAAAAAGUAGUACUUUUAAGCUUGGGUGAUUCUGUAAUAAUGUUUGAGAUAGUCCUUGGGAUGUUGUGUCUCACUUGGAAAGGAGACAAAUCUUUUUCCAAGAGGUUAUUACAUUUUUGUUACUCACUUUUGGUCAACUUUUGGUCAGUUUGCCCUGUGUCUCAUACUUCCCCAAAUUAAUUCUGUUACCCAAAGAGUGGAUAAACAAUUGCAAUGACAUUUCUGCUUUUAGUGUAGUGUUUAGUACGUUUUUUUCAUCCUCUGACAUCUGCAGAAAGUGCCUUGACAGUCAGAGGAUAGUGAAGAGUGAGUGAAUAUGGAGUAGCAGGUGCCUGGCUGGAGAAUGAACAAUUGUGGAAUUGGUAAUUCUCCCAUCCAUCACUAAAGGCUUUGCCAGCCCCUUUCUCCCCAUAGCUUGCAAGGUACCAGGAAUUUCCCCUUCCCACCUUCCCAACCAUUUUUAUUUAUGUGUUUAUUUUAUUAUUUCUAUUUAGGCCAUUAAACAGGAAAGGCCUUGACACCUGCAUGGUUUGAGGUGCCAGGUGGAGUGGUCAAACCACUGAGAAAUGGGGCACACAAUUAUUCUUCCACUAAGACAACUAAAAUUAACACAUCAGCAGGUCUUUUAAAGGUUUUGUUUCCAUAACCAAACCCAAAAUCUUGUUGUUUAAUCAGUUACUGGGGAAAUUUCAGCUGCAGUGCCCUGGUUUGCUUUGAGGUGCUCAGCAGCUCUUGGGGUUCUCUCUGGGAAUUGCUGUUACCCUUUGGCUUGAUGGACUGAUUUGCUCAAGUGAUUUUUGAAGCAGAUUUUUAGCCUUUCAGAAGGUUGAGUCUGAUACUAAACUUCAUACCUACUGUAAGGUGAAUUCCACAGGGGAGUAACCCCAGGUGGGCUUUUCUGAGACCCUCCUAUUUCAGCUGGAAGCCACCCCUGGUGGCAGCAGUGCUUGUGUGAGUUUCCAAGAGCCUCUGAGUGUGUUUGGGGUUCAGUGGGGCAUUGCUGGUCCUGCUUUGAACCCUGGCAUCACAGGUUUUGCCAGGUAAUCCACAGGCCAGGCUUAACCUUCCCCAUAUUUGUAGCUGCCCUGAUCCACUUUGAUGUAGCAAUAAAUGUUUUGAAAGCUUGGGUUGCCAAGUGUGAGGAGGUUCUGCCAGGAUGGCUGGGCAAGGUCAGCCCGGGGAGACAGAAGCCUGACCACAGCUGCCUGUGGAUACCUGGUGGGGAAAGGGGCAAGCACAGCACUGAAAAACAACUUUUGCUGACUUGCCUGUGAAUGAGCAGAGUGCCUCUCCUCCAGGAGAAACUUCCAACCAAUGCAGAGUUGCUUGCAGUGGAGGAGACUGCUGGAAACCCUCUGUGCUCUGUGGGAGAGCUGGGACCAGUGUGUUGGACAAAUUGCAUCAGCAUUCAAAGAAAUCACUUAUUUUUUUUUUGAAAAAAAAUAAAAAUAAAAAAAAAAUCAAUCCUGA